rnacentral:rRNA from 1 species
UGAAACCGCGAAUGGCUCAUUAAAUCAGCUAUGGUUUAUUGGAUCGUACCCGUUAAAUGGAUAACUGUAAUAACUCUAGAGCUAAUACAUGCCAUGAUGCCCUGACCUCGCUAGCUGCCACAGUGGUUAGUUGGGGGAUGGGUGCACUUAUUAGAUCAGAAGCCAACCAGUACAUGCGUUUGCACUCUUUAAUGGGUAAGAGCGUAUGGACUGUAGUACUUCUGGUGACUCUGGAUAAUUGUUACAGAUCGCAGUCGGCCUUGAGUCGGCGACGGGUCCUUCAAAUGUCUGCCCUAUCAACUUUCGAUGGUAGGUGACCUGCCUACCAUGGUGAUAACGGGUAACGGGGAAUCAGGGUUCGAUUCCGGAGAGGGAGCCUGAGAAACGGCUACCACUUCCAAGGGAGGCAGCAGGCGCGCAAAUUACCCACUCCCAGUACGGGGAGGUGGUGACGAAAAAUACCGAUGCGGGACUCAUUUAUGAGGCUCCGUAAUCGGAAUGAGUGGACUCUAAAUCCUUUCACGAGGAUCAAUUGGAGGGCAAGUCUGGUGCCAGCAGCCGCGGUAACUCCAGCUCCAAUAGCGUAUAUUAAAGUUGCUGCAGUUAAAAAGCUCGUAGCUGGAUCUCGGUAGCAUUGUUGCCUGCACAGUGUCCAAUCGAUGGUGUGUGCAUCAUGUCGCACAUGUAUGUGUGGAGUACUCCACCGCUCGAUUUAUCUACCCUAGUCUGCCUGUAGAGCCUUUAGUGUGUAUACGGGCUAGCAUUGGGUGGUUAAUUGAUUGGAUGGUUGGCUGCAUGUCAUAUGUGUCGCGGUAGGUGUACAUGAAGCACUGUCGUGUUGAGCUGGCAAGGCGAUGGUGCCACCUUUGAGUUAAUUGAUUGGAUGGUUGGCUGCAUGUCAUAUGUGUCGCGGUAGGUGUACAUGAAGCACUGUCGUGUUGAGCUGGCAAGGCGAUGGUGCCACCUUUGAGCCAUGUCUGUAGUGUAAUAGCUACAGGUGUAGGCGGGUGUCGGGCAGUGCUCUACACAUGUUGUAGAGCCUAGUCGGCUCGUUUGCAUGCUAAUGAAUGCCCUUCAAAAGGUGUUCAUGGGCGGAUGGCACGUUUACUUUGAACAAAUUUGAGUGCUCAAAUCAGGCCGAUGUUGCCUGAAAAGUUUUGCAUGGAAUAAUGGAAUAGGACUUCGGUUCUAUUUCGUUGGUUUUCGGAUCCGAAGUAAUGAUCAAAAGAGACAGGCGGGGACGUUUGUAUGGCUGCGCUAGAGGUGAAAUUCAUGGACCGUAGCCAGACAAACUAAAGCGAAAGCAUUCGUCAAGCAUGUUUUCAUUGGCCAUGAGCGAAAGUCAGAGGCUCGAAGACGAUCAGAUACCGUCCUAGUUCUGACCAUAAACGAUGCCAACUGACGAUCCGUGGUGGUAGUUGUUACACCUUCCCCACGGGC